UACAGAGGUCUCAAGCGUUUGUUCGGAUUUACUGGGCGUAAAGAGCGCGCAGGCGGUCGGAUAAGUCGAAUGUGAAAGCCCCCGGCUCAACUGGGGAGGGUCAUUCGAUACUGUUCGACUCGAAGGCAGGAGAGGGAAGUGGAAUUCCCGGUGUAGUGGUGAAAUGCGUAGAUAUCGGGAGGAACACCAGUGGCGAAGGCGAACUUCCUGGCCUGUUCUUGACGCUGAGGCGCGAAAGCUAGGGGAGCAAACGGGG
rnacentral:rRNA from 1 species